rnacentral:Y_RNA from 1 species
GGCUGGUCCGAUGGCAGUGGGUUAUCAGAACUUAUUAACAUUAGUGUCACUAAAGUUGGUAUUCAAACCCCAACUGCUACAUUUGACUGGCUUAAA